rnacentral:rRNA from 1 species
GCUACAGGCUUAACACAUGCAAGUCGAGGGGCAGCAUGGUCUUAGCUUGCUAAGGCCGACGGCGACCGGCGCACGGGUGAGUAACACGUAUCCAACCUGCCGUCUACUCUUGGACAGCCUUCUGAAAGGAAGAUUAAUACAAGAUGGCAUCAUGAGUCCGCAUGUUCACAUGAUUAAAGGUAUUCCGGUAGACGAUGGGGAUGCGUUCCAUUAGAUAGUAGGCGGGGUAACGGCCCACCUAGUCUUCGAUGGAUAGGGGUUCUGAGAGGAAGGUCCCCCACAUUGGAACUGAGACACGGUCCAAACUCCUACGGGAGGCAGCAGUGAGGAAUAUUGGUCAAUGGGCGAGAGCCUGAACCAGCCAAGUAGCGUGAAGGAUGACUGCCCUAUGGGUUGUAAACUUCUUUUAUAAAGGAAUAAAGUCGGGUAUGGAUACCCGUUUGCAUGUACUUUAUGAAUAAGGAUCGGCUAACUCCGUGCCAGCAGCCGCGGUAAUACGGAGGAUCCGAGCGUUAUCCGGAUUUAUUGGGUUUAAAGGGAGCGUAGAUGGAUGUUUAAGUCAGUUGUGAAAGUUUGCGGCUCAACCGUAAAAUUGCAGUUGAUACUGGAUAUCUUGAGUGCAGUUGAGGCAGGCGGAAUUCGUGGUGUAGCGGUGAAAUGCUUAGAUAUCACGAAGAACUCCGAUUGCGAAGGCAGCCUGCUAAGCUGCAACUGACAUUGAGGCUCGAAAGUGUGGGUAUCAAACAGGAUUAGAUACCCUGGUAGUCCACACGGUAAACGAUGAAUACUCGCUGUUUGCGAUAUACUGCAAGCGGCCAAGCGAAAGCGUUAAGUAUUCCACCUGGGGAGUACGCCGGCAACGGUGAAACUCAAAGGAAUUGACGGGGGCCCGCACAAGCGGAGGAACAUGUGGUUUAAUUCGAUGAUACGCGAGGAACCUUACCCGGGCUUAAAUUGCAGAUGAAUUACGGUGAAAGCCGUAAGCCGCAAGGCAUCUGUGAAGGUGCUGCAUGGUUGUCGUCAGCUCGUGCCGUGAGGUGUCGGCUUAAGUGCCAUAACGAGCGCAACCCUUGUUGUCAGUUACUAACAGGUUCCGCUGAGGACUCUGACAAGACUGCCAUCGUAAGAUGUGAGGAAGGUGGGGAUGACGUCAAAUCAGCACGGCCCUUACGUCCGGGGCUACACACGUGUUACAAUGGGGGGUACAGAGGGUCGCUACCACGCGAGUGGAUGCCAAUCCCCAAAACCUCUCUCAGUUCGGACUGGAGUCUGCAACCCGACUCCACGAAGCUGGAUUCGCUAGUAAUCGCGCAUCAGCCACGGCGCGGUGAAUACGUUCCCGGGCCUUGUACACACCGCCCGUCAAGCCAUGGGAGCCGGGGGUACCUGAAGUGCGUAACCGCGAGGAGCGCCCUAGGGUAAAACUGGUGACUGGGGCUAAGUCAUAAC